GGGCUUUUUAGUUUUACGGUUGGUAAUCCUGAUACUUCCCAUAUAUAAUAUCCGCUUAUUACGUAUAUAGGAGGGAGGACUAACAAGUUGUGUUGUGUUGUGAGUCCAACAUGUGGGGGGGGGGCUGUUAUAGAAUAAAUGGAAAUUCGCCGACAAAUUGACAAGAAAGCACACACAUAUUACUGUGAUAUUUGCAUCUUGGAAAUUGCUUAAUCUUUAUAACAAAUGUCCUCCUUUGAAAUCAUUUCAAGAUAGCUGUAAGAAAAUCAGCAAAUGUAUGGGAAAUCUUGUCGAGUUGCCGUUUCGGCCGAGCGAAAAAGGCUACGAAUUCAAAGGGUUAACUUAAUGUUUAUUAAUGAAAAAUGAAAAUAUUAAUUCGAUUGGAUUCUAUAGUCAGUUUUCCAUACAUAUAAUGCUAAUGCGUAUAACGUACUAAUUGUCAAUUGAUUUUGGCGUCAGGCGACGCCAUUGCGACGCCAUUUUAAAACGGUGCCAGAGCGACAUUGAGCGUAAUUGCAUACUACAUUAAUAUGUACUAUAUAAAGCGAUAAUAGUAAAUGAUUUAUCGUGAAAAGUUUUUAGAAGGCAAACGCAAAACAAUCUUGUAAAUAAAAUAUAAAUGAUUAUAUAUGUGUAAUAGAAAUGUACUGUGCCUACCACGUAUAGGAGGGCUGAAAAUUUCAUAGUCUAGCACGCAGAGGUGUGUAAAUUUUUGUCAUGAUUUUUGAAGGGGGUUGCCGCCUCAGGACCUUUUUCUUUGCUUACAACAUUUCAAUGUGUUUUCAUAAUAAGAUAGAGAGAAACAAAUUGUAAGGGAACAUCUUGCAUGAUGCGUGCGCCAGCUCGUAUUCGUCCCGGUUUGUCUUUUUCCAAAUGAAGAAAACAGGACGAAAACAUGAAUUACAAUCCGAUAUAUUAGCCAAGAGAGAUCAUUUGUAAUCAUACCUUGCAAAGAAUCAGAGCAAUACGAUUAACAGUAACGGUAGAUAAAUUUUCGACAUUGACUUUGAUCGGCAUCGAUUGACCAGGAACGUAUCCUCUGACCGAGAAAAGAAGAGAGAAAGGAAGCUUACCGAACUUCUGGAUUCCGUAUUCAAAUCGAAAGGCGAAACGACCGUGAAUGCCGCUUUAACAUCCU
rnacentral:lncRNA from 1 species